CCCGGGAACACUUCCGGCCGUGUCCAAUGUAUCCAAAACUUUUCAAAAACUCAUCUAUCGAGGUUGUCUUCCAAAACCAUGAAGUUUGAUAUGUCGCAAGACUGGGUUUUACAUCAAAGUGUCCACUACCCCAGGGAACAAGGUUCUCGGAACAUCCGGAACCAUGUCCUGGUGAUUCAAUUGUAUCAAAACUAACGUCUGCUGCUGGUCUAUGAUGAUUGACCACGUUUGCAUCAACAUUCUGGGCGCUGUCGUUCAUUUAUCAAUGGUUUAAAUAAAAAUGACCCGUUUUUGACUGCGCCUGACCCAGGACCCCCCUUAAUAAAUCCGGCCGGAUUUGCACCAUGUUAUUUCGAUUUUGAUUUCUAGGUCAGAUCGAAACGGGGUAUUUAACCAAUGAAUCGCUUGCUUUGAGCGUGCUUACAGCGGCACACUAGGAGUUAACUUUCUAAAAUCAGUAUGGCGAAAGGCAUCUAUGGUUCGAUUUCUCAAAAUUAAGCACUUUCAUCAAAAAAAUAUUUGGUAGGCAUGGUAGCGGACACUUUCCUACAUAAUCGGUACCAAAUAGUUUUUCAUGAAAAGUUUCUUAUUUUGAGAAAACCCGCGUUAGAUGACUUUCACCAUACAAAUUUCUGGCGGUUAACUCUUGCUGGCUAUUUUGCACAUAUAUGUACUAUAGCGCCUGGAUGUGACAGUGGCGGGUAGAAAAUCAGUCACUGCCAAUAAUUCAUUGAAAUGUAUCUGUGCAAUCGGUGAAGAGUGGCAAAUCGGUUCGGUCCGCUGUUGUGCGGUUUAUUAAUCUCAUUUUGUAUACCUAGAAUACUCCAAACUGUUCUAUAUUCAUCCAUAUUACAACACUUUUCUUUCUCAGAAAAACAUUUUGGAUGGCCCAUACUGCCCCUAAUGGUGGCUCAUUUUGCCCCGUAUAUACACAUUAAAACCAAUACAUUUUCCAACAAUUUCCAAACGUAUUUUUCACCAUUCAUCGACGUAAUAUGGAAGGUAACACUCACUAGUACUAUAAGCAUUGACGAAUACAUAGACGGAGGGGUGGCCAUUUUUCCGGGCACCACUAUAUACCCCUGGGGAGUGACGGAUUACAAUUAUUACAAUCACUCGACCAUUGAGAAGCCCCUCAAUUCGAAUCACGUCAGAUUGACAACAGUUGUCAUUUCCAUUUUUGUUUACCUCUGAUGGUGAUUCUCUGAUUCAAAAAACAUUGAAUCGAGACGAGUGGACCGUGCCGUCCGAAACAACAAAGAAAAAAUUAUCGAACCGAUCCAUCUUGUCUACUGUAUAGAGCAGUCGUAGUAGCAAUCGAACCGUAGGAAGAGGAAAGAUUAAGAACUCAGUUGGUGUGCGACUUGUAGACCACCGAAAUCGACCACAAGAAAUUUCCUCAAUUUAGCAGUGCGGUUGGAAUUGCAAAUGCCUUGUAGGUAUAUGCCGACAAAAAUGAACAUGGAUACUACAUGGUUCGGAGCAGCAAAGAUCCUACCGGAAGUGGUGCAAGAAAAUUCCUUAUUUUGUGACAGAGAGCAUCGGAAGCCGGACAGCACGAUAAUCAGGAAUUGUGGUAAUAAUAUAAUACCAUGGUGGUAAAAUUUUGAUCUACGCGUGCUGGUGUAUAUUCACAAUACUUGCGCGCUGCUGAGUUAUUGCACUGGUAGGGACAAUAUGCAAUACAAAGUUCCAUUCGCUGUGGCCUAGCAGUGCCACAUCAGAUUGUGAAGUUGUCUGAUCAGUAUGGUGGUAGCGGUUCAAUCCAAUAAUACUGGAACAUUGCAUUACAAUUAAACCCAAUUUUUUUAUGUCUUUAUUAAGGAGACUUUCAGCCCUAUGCUGGCUCAUCUCCGCAAUCUAAAUGUUCAUUUUGAAGAAAAUAAGUAAAAAUUGUUUCUAAUUCCAACACAAAAUUUUAAAGCAAAUAUUAUUAUAAUAAAACCUAGUUCAGCAUCGGGAAUCGAAUUUUUAGAGUUGCUUUGUAAACGCGUACCUUACCGCACGGCUAGGGAGGGCCCAACUUAUACAAGAACCACAAAAACUGAAUGGAUUUUUUUACACUACCCACAAAGUUGGAUGAUUGAUUGACUGCUAUUGCGAUUGGGCUGAUUGAAUGAUUGAUUUAAUGGGUUGAGGCUUGAUUGAUUGAUGGACUGCCGUUAUACGCAUAACUGCCCCAUGUACAUAGGAUUCCCAGGGACAAAUAUGCGUAUGACAGCAGUUGAUUGAUUAAAUGAAUGAUUUAUAGAUUAAUUGAUCGAUUGAUUGAGUUGAUUGAUUGCUUGGAUUGAUCGAUUGAUUGAGUUGAUUGGGUUCUGAUAACGACAAUUACUUUGAUUGAUUGAUUGGGUUGAUAAUUCGUUGAUUGAUUGAUUGUUUGGGUUCAUUGCGAUUGAUUGAUUCGGCUGAUUACGAUUGAUUGAUUGGUUUAUUGGUUUAAAUGAAUCAUUUUUAAGAAUUGAUUGAAUGAAUCAUUGAUUGAUUGGGUUGAUUUUUUUUCUUCUUUAUUAAAGAGGCUUUCAGCUCUUGGCUGGUUCACCUCUGAAUAGGGUUGAUUGUUUGAUUGAUUGAUUGAUAGGGUUUGAUUGAUAAAUUGAAUGAAUGAUUGAUUGGGUUGUUAGUUGAUGGAAUGAUUGGAUUGAUUGAUUGAAUAAUUGGGUUGAUUAAUUUAUUGAUUAAGUUGAUUGAAUGACUGAUAUAGAUUGAUUGAUUGAUUGAUUGAGAUGAUUGUUGGUUGAGUGAUUAAUUUAUCGGGUUGAUUGCUUGGCUUGAUCGAUUGUUUGAAUAAUUUAUUGAUUGAUUGAUAAAUUAAUUGAAAUGGUUGAUUGAUUGAUUGUGUCUAUUGAUUGAUUGAACGAUUGAGGGAUUGAUUGGGUUGAUUAAUUGAUUGAUUAGUUGGUUUGAUUGAUUGAUUCAUUGGGUGGUAGCGUAGGUGAUUGAGACCCCUCUCUCCCACAAGUGCUUACGUAAUUAGUGAACGCUAUCAUUAACAUAAUCAUUCGAAUAAAAAAAAUAAAAAAAUGAUGUUCUCUUCACCAAAAUAUUAGUGUUAACAGGAUAUUUUAUUCAUAUGAAUUUAAAAUUAAAUAAAACGAGC